GCAUCAGAGAUCGGUGCCCCCCGUUGUGGUCGGUGUACAGGUGGUGCAUGGCUGUCGUCAGCUCGUGUCGUGAGAUGUUGGGUUAAGUCCCGCAACGAGCGCAACCCUUGUCCCGUGUUGCCAGCAACUCUUCGGAGGUUGGGGACUCACGGGAGACCGCCGGGGUCAACUCGGAGGAAGGUGGGGACGACGUCAAGUCAUCAUGCCCCUUAUGUCUUGGGCUGCACACGUGCUACAAUGGCCGGUACAAUGAGCUGCGAUACCGCAAGGUGGAGCGAAUCUCAAAAAAGCCGGUCUCAGUUCGGAUUGGGGUCUGCAACUCGACCCCAUGAAGUCGGAGUCGCUAGUAAUCGCAGAUCAGCAUUGCUGCGGUGAAUACGUUCCCGGGCCUUGUACACACCGCCCGUCACGUCACGAAAGUCGGUAACACCCGAAGCCGGUGGCCCAACCCCUUGUGGGAGGGAGCUGUCGAAGGUGGGACUGGCGAUUGGGACGAAGUCGUAACAAGGUAAGCGUAGAUGA
rnacentral:rRNA from 1 species